GUUAACACUAAUGCUGGCCUCAUAUACGUUGAAGGACACCAUACAUUCUAAGCCUAAAAGGCAUUUAUUUUUGUAUUAAAAAAGUCUAAAUAUGGUACAGUGGGUGGGUGGAGAGAGGAAAGGCCUGCGUGGGAGACAGUGAAGCACUCAAUGUAGCCAACUGUUUCACUAAUGAUUCUAUGUUUAGCACAAUAAAUCAAAAGGCAUGCUCGUGCUGCUGUAAUCCCCUGAAAGCGAGUGGAGACAGGGACGCGCCAAAAGGAGAAUCUGGUCCACAUUUCUCCGCUCCCAGUAUAACUGAUCUGCUUGGGUAAUUUUAGACCUGUCAGGGAAAACAAGGUCACAGCAAAUGUUGUAUCGAGGACACACUCGGAUCUGCUUCUUUUUUUCCUUUUCAUCAAUCAAAGUUUCCCUUUGGAGUUGGGCUUGGACUCCUGUGAGACUAGUAAUGACGGUUUCUCGUCUCGGCACCGGGGGGAGAAGCUGGAGCUCCAACCAGCAAUUAGGAGGAGCACGGCUGAAUCCGCAGGAUGUGUAAAAAUUCCCUUCUGAUUCUUGGCUUGGUCCAUAGAGGGGGGUUUACAUCUGACUGGUCUGGCCUGUUUACUGUGAAGGCAUGCAAAGUUAAGAUGAUUACAAUGCUGAAUGCCAAAUUUGUGUUCUCUCAGACUGUUUACCGAAAAUGUCCAGGAUCCAGGAUUCCCAGUGUCUUCUCGUUUUGUACUUCAUCAGAGAAGCCUUUGCACACUUCAGUAAAGAGGCCGGAGAGGGAAGACUGGUGAAGGCAACAGCUUCAUUGUCAUGUUGUCCUCAGAGGAGUUCGACAAUAACCUUAGAAGGAUGGACAACUGUGCUGACUCACUUAAGUUGUUAUCCGUGACAUCUGGGACAUUAAAGAGGCAGUUACGCCGGGUUGAAAAUGAAAGUCAUGAUGCAAAUUUCGGCUUCUAACCUAAAUGCCAGAGUCCCAUGCCAUUAUUUCCACAGCAGGCCUGUAAGUGAUGUAUUGAUCAAUGUUUUGAUUUAUUUUUUUCCCAAUAAAAUGCAUUAAUGAGUCC